UCCGCUCCACACCUGAACAUGAGUACGUUCUGCUCAGCAUGGAUGAUGUAUUUGUACUUCCUUUCCUGAGGGUCCAUCUCCUCGCUGCCCAUCUGGGGAAACGCUGAAUACGCGGACCCCCCUGCAUACCCGUUGUAGCCGCACCCCACCAGCUCUCCUUGCUGUGAAAGAACUGGGUUCUUUUAAACGGGAAAGGUUGCUUGCAAGACGUCUCUCCAGGGAAUUUCCCCCACAACACAUAACUACCACACAGUGAUGAAAGAAAGAUAAACUCUGGAACAUUAUUUACAGAUGACCGAUGGCUGCGAUGACAUUGAAAAAAUCACUCACAGACUUUCCAUCAGCCCAGAUCACAGCACCAACUCCGACUUUGGGGUCCUCUGUAAAGAGAAGAAAGGUUUUGCCUUAAAUCCCUCACAACAUCAAGCACCAUUGUCAAUCAUGCCUGUCUACUGGAAGUUGCUCAAAUAGAGCUCUUUCCCGACGGGCAGGGCUGGAAAUCAUUCAAAAUAUGAUGAUUUGGGGUCUGGUUCUUUAUUCCUAUACCAUAAUGGCUGCUCCAGGGCUUAACUUCUGGCUCGGUAACAAUAUUAAGGAAUAAUUUUUACAUUAUGCUUUUGUUGGCCAAACAGAAGGUUAAGCCUAAACCUAUCUAAUCUGUCCACUUCGCUACUUCACAUGAGUUAAAUUAAUUUGCAAGUAUCAGUCACAUUGCCACCUAAGGAACUAUAUUGCAGGUCAUUCCAUUGAGAGAAAAAACAUAAUAAAUCUGAAAUGUGGGGGGGUGACUUCUCCAAUUUUGCUCAAACUUUCUGUAAAUGUUCUUUAUAUAUUCGAUAGAGAACAUGCUACACAUUUGCCAUGUUAGAUUUGUAGUUCUGGACUUCUUAAUAUCUCACUUGUAAAUGGAAAUUUGUGGAAGUGGAAGUUUGCAUUGAUUUCAUAUUUCAUAUAUAAAGGAGGGAAAAACUUGAAAAA